rnacentral:sRNA from 5 species
AUAUCUCUCCGUACGGGAAGGAUGAGAAGCUUCGACUAAGGUUCGAUUCGAGCGCAGCGAGAACGCGUUGCCGCAGGC